AGUGAACGCUGGCGGUAGGCCUAACACAUGCAAGUCGAACGGCAGCACAGGAGAGCUUGCUCUCUGGGUGGCGAGUGGCGGACGGGUGAGGAAUACAUCGGAAUCUACCUUUUCGUGGGGGAUAACGUAGGGAAACUUACGCUAAUACCGCAUACGACCUACGGGUGAAAGUGGGGGACCGCAAGGCCUCACGCGAUUAGAUGAGCCGAUGUCCGAUUAGCUAGUUGGCGGGGUAAUGGCCCACCAAGGCGACGAUCGGUAGCUGGUCUGAGAGGAAGAUCAGCCACACUGGAACUGAGACCAGGUCCAGAUUCCUACGGGAGGCAGCAGUGGGGAAUAUUGGACAAUGGGCGCAAGCCUGAUCCAGCCAUACCGCGUGGGUGAAGAAGGCCUUCGGGUUGUAAAGCCCUUUUGUUGGGAAAGAAAUCCUGUCGAUUAAUACUCGGUGGGGAUGACGGUACCCAAAGAAUAAGCACCAGCUAACUUCGUGCCAGCCGCCGCGGUAAUAC
rnacentral:rRNA from 1 species